AGUGAACGCUGGCGGUAGGCCUAACACAUGCAAGUCGAACGGCAGCACAGGAGAGCUUGCUCUCUGGGUGGCGAGUGGCGGACGGGGGAGGAAUACAUCGGAAUCUACUCUGUCGUGGGGGAUAACGUAGGGAAACUUACUCUAAUACCGCAUACGACCUACGGGUGAAAGCAGGGGACCUUCGGGCCUUGCGCGAUUGAAUGAGCCGAUGUCGGAUUAGCUAGUUGGCGGGGUAAAGGCCCACCAAGGAGACGAUCCGUAGCGGGUCUGAGAGGAUGAUCAGCCACACUGGAACUGAGACACGGUCCAGACUCCUACGGGAGGCAGCAGUGGGGAAUAUUGGACAAUGGGCGCAAGCCUGAUCCAGCCAUACCGCGUGGGUGAAGAAGGCCUUCGGGUUGUAAAGCCCUUUUGUUGGGAAAGAAAUCCAGCUGGCUAAUACCCGGUUGGGAUGACGGUACCCAAAGAAUAAGCACCGGCUAACUUCGUGCCAGCCGCCGCCGUAA
rnacentral:rRNA from 1 species